GGCCUGAUGGUCUAGUAGUAUGAUUCCUUGUUAGGGUUCGCCGUUUCGAGGAGGUCCCGGGUUCAAUUCCCGGUCAGGCCC